UCGGGAAUCUUGCACAAUGGGCGAAAGCCUGAUGCAGCAACACCGUGUGAGCGAGGAAGGUCUUCGGAUCGUAAAGCUCUGUUGUUGGGGACGAAGGGCGAAGGGUUAAUAGCCCCUAGCCUGACGGUACCCUUCGAGGAAGCCCCGGCUAACUACGUGCCAGCAGCCGCGGUAAUACGUAGGGGGCGAGCGUUGUCCGGAAUUAUUGGGCGUAAAGAGCGUGUAGGCGGCCUGGUAAGUCUGCCGUGAAAACCUGGGGCUCAACCCUGGGCGUGCGGUGGAUACUGCUAGGCUAGAGGAUGGUAGAGGCGAGUGGAAUUCCCGGUGUAGCGGUGAAAUGCGCAGAUAUCGGGAGGAACACCAGUAGCGAAGGCGGCUCGCUGGGCCAUACCUGACGCUGAGACGCGAAAGCUAGGGGAGCAAACAGGAUUAGAUACCCCCGUAGUCC
rnacentral:rRNA from 1 species